AUAAAUAUCAAUCAAUAGGGCCUAUGGUAGGCAGAAUAAUGCGCCCCCCCCAGAUGUCCACAUCCUGAUCCCCAGAAUCUUUGACUGUGUUACAUGGCAAGAGGGAAUCAAAGUUGCAGAUGGAAUUAAGGUUGUUAACCAACUGACCUUGAGAUGGAGAGAGGAUCCUGAUUAUCCAGGUGGGCCCAAUAUAAUCAUGAGGGUCCUUAAAAGUGGAAGAGGGCUGCAGGAGAGUCGGUGUCGGAGGGAUGUGGCAUGCAAAAGACUAUCUACCAUGGCUGGCUCUAAAGAUGGAAGGAGGCCGUGAGCCAACGGAUGCAGCAUUUCCUAGAAGGUGGAAAAGAACAUAGAAGCUGAAAGACCGGGAGAGAAGGAUCACUUUCGUAUAGGCCUGGUAACCCCAUGACUGCCUGCAAUCAAGAAAAUUGUACCACAUAAACCACUGUUCAGAGAGAAUGCUGUUCGUUCGCCGGUAUCUUUUUUUUUCUUCUGGGCACGCAGCUAGGCUGUAUUUCCCAGUCUCCUCUGCUGUUAGGUGGAGCCAUAUAACUGAGUUCUGGCCAACGGAACAAGAGGCAAUCAUGGGUCUAGUGGCUGGAUGUGGAGACCUGGUGAACUCCAAGACCCUGGAGAUUGGUGAAGCCCCUAGACUGGAAGCAUCCUGGGUUCCUAAGUUGCCAUGUGGAAUAAAGCUACCCAGGAGACCCACCCAACCACAGACACCUGUGUUGGACUGUUUCAGGCCUUUGGAUUCUGACUGAAUUAUACCACCAGGAUUCCUGGGUCUCCAGCUUGCAGAGGGCAGCCUGUGGGACUUCUCACCCUCUGCAAUCACAUGAGCCAAUUCCUCAUAAUAUCUAUAUACUAUAUACCACGUAGCAUACAUCCACUUGUCCUAUUGGUUCUGUUUUCUGGAGAAACCCUGACUACUAGAGUUGUUGCUGAUGCUGUGGAUAGUGCUAUUUUAAACAGAUAAAUUGUCUAGUACAUGUAUUUUUUCCCACCUUGUCUGAUUGUCUCCUUUAAGUGACUUCCUAGGUCCCAGGAUCUCUUGGUCCAGGGGCAUGAACGUUUUUAAGGCCUUCCUAUAUCCUGCCUAAUUGAACUCUAAGACAGUUAUAAAAAAUGAAGCAACUCUCAGGUAGAGAUAUAUAGAAGUGACAUCUAAACUUCUGGCUAAUGUUUCUCAAACUGAGUAUUUUAGAAUUGUUCAGUUUUCUCCAAAAUGUGCUUUCUUAGGAUUGCCAGCUUGUCCAUCCAUGUGGAAAGCUGAGGGCUUCAUUAGAGAAGAGUCCUCCUCCUGUGUCUCUUCAGCUUUCUGAGCCGGGAGCAGCCCCUGCUUAAACAGUGCCCGCUUCUCAUUAAUGUCUCCAGGGCUCUUGCAAUAUCCCCAGCUCCGUUUUAAUGAGUCAGCGAUUUCCUUGAAAUGGCAUGAAGUCAAAGCAGGGCUUCCAGGCUGCCAGCACAGUGACACUGAGAAGCCAAGUCACCAAGACUAGAGCUGAAAGAGAAUCCAAGAAACCAUUUGGCCCAACUUUCUGGCUUCAGGCAAAUAAGAUGUUCCAUCAGCAGAAGAGUUUUAGAAGAUCUAGACAGCCUUUGGCAAGGAAUGGUGUCUCUCUAGUCAUUGUGUUAAGCAAAAAGAGAAAAC
rnacentral:lncRNA from 1 species